GUGGGGAAUAUUGCACAAUGGGGGAAACCCUGAUGCAGCGACGCCGCGUGAGCGAAGAAGUAUUUCGGUAUGUAAAGCUCUAUCAGCAGGGAAGAAGAAUGACGGUACCUGACUAAGAAGCACCGGCUAAAUACGUGCCAGCAGCCGCGGUAAUACGUAUGGUGCAAGCGUUAUCCGGAUUUACUGGGUGUAAAGGGAGCGCAGGCGGUACGGCAAGUCUGAUGUGAAAUCCCGGGGCUCAACCCCGGUACUGCAUUGGAAACUGUCGGACUAGAGUGUCGGAGGGGUAAGUGGAAUUCCUAGUGUAGCGGUGAAAUGCGUAGAUAUUAGGAGGAACACCAGUGACGAAGGCGGCUUACUGGACGAUUACUGACGCUGAGGCUCGAAAGCGUGGGGAGCAAACAGGAUUAGAAACCCCUGUAGUCC
rnacentral:rRNA from 1 species